GACGAACCGUGCGAACGUUAUUCGGAAUCACUGGGCUUAAAGCGCGUGUAGGCGGGCCGCCACGUCGGGCCGCUGAAAUCCCCCGGCUCAACCGGGGAACGGGCACCGAUACGAGGCGGCCUGGAGGGGAGUAGGGGGACCUGGAACUUCCGGUGGAGCGGUGAAAUGCGUUGAGAUCGGAAGGAACGCCCGUGGCGAAAGCGAGGUCCUGGGCUCCUGCUGACGGCUGAGACGCGAAAGCCAGGGGAGCGAACGGG
rnacentral:rRNA from 1 species